AUCAAUUAAAUAUAGCUACAUUUAUGAAGAAAGUAAAUAAUACAAUCUAAUAGGCUAUUAUUAACAGGACAGUCUGAAGGAACUUUUAGUUUUCCUCAAAAACUGCCGCUUUCAUAUCCCAUUAUGUCAUACAGUUAACUGACUGCCUUUUCCAGAUGGACCCAAUGUAGUAUUUACACAAACAAUGGUUUUCCGUAUUUUUUUACGACCAGUUAUGGUAUAUUUUACUCGUCAUUUAAAUGAAUGCCGUUAAAUGUGUGUGACGUUAGGCUAUUUAAAGUAACGUUGGCGCGAAUUCUCAAACGCACUCUCUCGCAGUCUCUCUCCCCCAGUCCACCGCAAGCAAGAGCACACACUCAAUUGAUACUGAAAUAAUGUAUUGGCGCAAUGGAUUUGGCAAACGCUCCAGUGUAUAUUAGUGCUUAUUUGUGUUCACUCUCUGGAGAAUGGCAAAUUAAUCUUACAACGCGUUUUGCUGCGGUGAGCAUCAAUGUAGCCAUUCACAGACGUUAACGUUAGUUGUCUGGUCUCUUGAACGCAAUGACCUAUCAAAGGUGUUCAAGUUAGUCAGAAUCUACUCACUGCUCAUAACGCCAUUUUAAUUCAGUUCCGAAUUAUGCAGGCUCGCGAAUCCCCUCAUCAACAAAGUCUAGACAAGAUGUAAGAGGUUUUUUUGACCGACAGCCAAUUGAAUGCUGCAAACUGUCUGGUUCACCGUGCGAUUCACUCUUCACGUGACAGAAAUAUGACAUGUUAAAAUAGUAACGUUUUUAAAGCAAUGUAAAGGCAGACCAAUAGAUUAACUGAAACAUAUUAAUUGCAAAAUAUUUUAGAUAUUCUAUGCUAAUUAUUGGUAAAACUGAUUUUCUUCUCCCUUUUUUCAGUGUUGAUUGUCAUCUGAUUGUGAGCUAACUACAGCCCAAAGGCUCUUUUAAGAGCCACAAGCACUGAGGAUCUUUGGCUUUCCAACCUUAACCAAGAUGUCGGUUGAGCAGGAAAUGACAUUGCCUACCACACCACAGGUGAUCAUGCUAGGGAGUAGUCUGCUGUUUGCAACCUACUGGAUGGUCAGCAUUGAGGGGAAGGUCUUCUAUGAAGCUAACCAACUUCAUAACUUUGCCAGUGCUUUCGCUGUCUUUUUCGGCUCCUUUUAUGUGUUCAAUCUGGAGUAUCAGGAGGCAGCAUCCACUACGCUGGAGAUGGUACAGAGAAAGGAAUUGAUGCCACCUGACACCAGUGAUCUGCUGUGAUUGGUGGAGUGGAAGUUUGGAACUGUUUCUGAAGUGUAUUUUUAUUGUGAUUUAAAAAAAAAAAAUUUUUAUUUGUUUUGUUUUGUUUUGUAACUUAGUUUUGUUUUAAUUAGAUUAUUUGUUUAAAAUAAAAUAUUUUGUUUGACAAAAAAGCACAAUAAAGAAUAUGCUGAUGUACAUGGACUCAAGUCACUUUUUUUGGAAUUUGUUAAAUUCAAUAGCAUUAAUGUAAAAUAUAAAUAUUAAAAUAUUUUUAAUAAAUUACAAUAAAAUGACUAAUAUACUGUAAAAUGAAAUUGCAGUAAGGGAAUCAUACUGUAAAAUUAAAUCACGGUAAGGGCAUUUUGCUGUAAAAUGUAAUCACAGUAAGGGCAUCUUACUGUAAAAUUAAAUUGCGGUAAGGGCAUCUUACCGUAAAACACAUUUACAGGUAAGCUACUGUAAAGGGGAACUUACAGUAACUUACUGGCAAUAGUGCUGCCAGUAAGUUACCGCAAAAAUACGAUAAAAAGUCUAAC